rnacentral:rRNA from 1 species
GACGAACGCUGGCGGCGUGCUUAACACAUGCAAGUCGAACGCUGAAGCUCAGCUUUUGUUGGGUGGAUGAGUGGCGAACGGGUGAGUAACACGUGAGUAACCUGCCUCCUUCUUUGGGAUAACGCCCGGAAACGGGUGCUAAUACUGGAUAUGCACUGGUCUUCGCAUGGGGGUUGGGGGAAAGGGCGUUUCUGGUGGGUGAUGGGGUCGCGGACUAUCAGCUUGUUGGUGGGGUGAUGGCCUACCAAGGGUUUGACGGGUAGCCGGCCUGAGAGGGGGACCGGGCGGAUGGCGAGUGAGAUAGGGACCGGGCUACUGCGGGGGGUCGCAGUGGGGAAUGUUGCGCAAUGGGCGGAAGAAUGAUGCAGAGACGCAGCGUGAGAGAUGGAGGGCUGCGGGUUGUGAACCUCUUUCGCUCAUGGUCAAGCCGCAACAAUGGUUGUGGUGAGGGUAGUGGGUAAAGAAGCGCCGGCUAACUACGUG